GACGAACGCUGGCGGCGUGCCUAAUACAUGCAAGUUGAGCGAUGAAGAUUGGUGCUUGCCCCAAUUUGAAGAGCAGCGAACGGGUGAGUAACGCGUGGGGAAUCUGCCUUUGAGCGGGGGACAACAUUUGGAAACGAAUGCUAAUACCGCAUAACAACUUUAAACAUAAGUUUUAAGUUUGAAAGAUGCAAUUGCAUCACUCAAAGAUGAUCCCGCGUUGUAUUAGCUAGUUGGUGAGGUAAAGGCUCACCAAGGCGAUGAUACAUAGCCGACCUGAGAGGGUGAUCGGACACAUUGGGACUGAGACACGGCCCAAACUCCUACGGGAGGCAGCAGUAGGGAAUCUUCGGAAAUGGACGAAAGUCUGACCGAGCAACGCCGCGUGAGUGAAGAAGGUUUUCGGAUCGUAAAACUCUGUUGGUAGAGAAGAACGUUGGUGAGAGUGGAAAGCUCAUAAAGUGACGGUAACUACCCAGAAAGGGACGGCUAACUACGUG
rnacentral:rRNA from 1 species